GCAUUUGUCAGCCACACACAGACACUCUCUCUGUUUAAUUUCUUAGAUUGAUAGAGAGAAAUCAUUUUCUUUACAGAUCAGGAAAGAAAGAAAUAAAGGAAAAAAAGGAAACUUUAUUUCUUGAUUUUUUUGAAUUUCUUUAUACAUAUAUAUAAUUCAUCUGCAGCUUAAUUCCCCAAUUCCCAUAUAUGCAUAUGUGUCUGCCUGCAGAGGCAUGUGUGUACGUUA
rnacentral:misc_RNA from 1 species